CCUUUUAGGGACAAACGUCAAUAUUUUAGACAAGUCUCCUAUUUUUUAGGGACUGAUGUCAUUUUUUUUGACGUGUCUCCUAAGAAUAUUGUUUGUCGACACGUCUCUUUUUUUUAGAAAAGGACC
rfam:Populus trichocarpa scaffold_1_contig_528, whole genome shotgun sequence.